rnacentral:rRNA from 1 species
UUUCGCAAUGCCCGAAAGGGUGACGAAGCGACGCCGCGUGGGUGAGGAAGGCCUUCGGGUUGUAAAGCCCUGUCAGGAGUUAAGAAAUGUAAGUGCGCUAAUAUCGCAUUUAUUUGACGAAGGCUCCAAAGGAAGUCACGGCUAACUCUGUGCCAGCAGCCGCGGUAAUACAGAGGUGGCAAGCGUUGUUCGGAAUUAUUGGGCGUAAAGAGCACGUAGGUGGGUUUGUAAGUCAGAUGUGAAAGCCUUCUGUUCAACGGAAGAAUUGCAUCUGAAACUGCGAGUCUUGAGUGUAGGAGGGGAGAAUGGAACUUCUGGUGGAGCGGUGAAAUGCGUAGAUAUCAGAAGGAACGCCGGCGGCGAAAGCGGUUCUCUGGCCUAUUACUGACACUCAGUGUGCGAAAGCUAGGGGAGCAAACGGGAUUAGAUACCCCGGUAGUCCUAGCCGUAAACGAUGGGCACUAAGUAGAGGGGUUUUA